rnacentral:rRNA from 1 species
UACGUAGGGUGCGAGCGUUAAUCGGAAUACUGGGCGUAAAGCGUGCGCAGGCGGUUCGUUGUGUCGGUGGUGAAAGCCCCGGGCUUAACCUGGGAAUGGCCAUGGAAACUGGCGAACUGGAGUGUGGCAGAGGGGGGUGGGAAUUCCGCGUGUAGCAGUGAAAUGCGUAGAGAUGCGGAGGAACACCGAUGGCGAAGGCAGCCCCCUGGGCUAGCACUGACGCUCAGGCACGAAAGCGUGGGGGAGCAAACAGG